GCCAGUGUGGUGUAGUGGUCUGAGUGUUGGACUAUGACUCUGGAGACCAGGGUACGAAUCUCUGCUCAGCCA